rnacentral:rRNA from 1 species
GAUGAACGCUGGCGGCGUGCCUAAUACAUGCAAGUCGAGCGAACAGACGAGGAGCUUGCUCCUCUGACGUUAGCGGCGGACGGGUGAGUAACACGUGGAUAACCUACCUAUAAGACUGGGAUAACUUCGGGAAACCGGAGCUAAUACCGGAUAAUAUAUUGAACCGCAUGGUUCAAUAGUGAAAGACGGUUUUGCUGUCCCUUAUAGAUGGAUCCGCGCCGCAUUAGCUAGUUGGUAAGGUAACGGCUUACCAAGGCAACGAUGCGUAGCCGACCUGAGAGGGUGAUCGGCCACACUGGAACUGAGACACGGUACAGACUCCUACGGGAGGCAGCAGUAGGGAAUCUUCCGCAAUGGGCGAAAGCUUGACGGAGCAACGCAGCGUGAGUGAUGAAGGUCUUCGGAUCGUAAAACUCUGUUAUUAGGGAAGAACAAAUGUGUAAGUAACUAUGCACGUCUUGACGGUACCUAAUCAGAAAGCCACGGCUAACUACGU